rnacentral:rRNA from 1 species
AGUGAACGCUGGCGGUAGGCCUAACACAUGCAAGUCGAACGGCAGCACAGUAAGAGCUUGCUCUUACGGGUGGCGAGUGGCGGACGGGUGAGGAAUACAUCGGAAUCUACUUUUUCGUGGGGGAUAACGUAGGGAGACUUAUGCUAAUACCGCAUACGACCUACGGGUGAAAGCAGGGGAUCUUCGGACCUUGCGCGAUUGAAUGAGCCGAUGUCGGAUUAGCUAGUUGGCGGGGUAAAGGCCCACCAAGGCGACGAUCCGUAGCUGGUCGGAGAGGAUGAUCAGCCACAUGGGAACUUGGACACGGACCAGAGUCCUACGGGAGGGAGCAGUGGGGAAUAUUGGACAAUGGGCGCAAGCCUGAUCCAGCCAUACCGCGUGUGUGAAGAAGGCGUUCGGGUUGUAAAGCCCUUUUGUUGGGAAAGAAAAGCAGCAGGUUAAGACCCCGCUGUUCUGACGGUACCCAAAGAAUAAGCACCGGCUAACUUCGUG